AUUGAACGCUGGCGGCAGGCUUAACACAUGCAAGUCGAGCGGGGUGAUGGUGCUUGCACUAUCACUUAGCGGCGGACGGGUGAGUAAUGCUUAGGAAUCUGCCUAUUAGUGGGGGACAACAUCUCGAAAGGGAUGCUAAUACCGCAUACGUCCUACGGGAGAAAGCAGGGGAUCACUUGUGACCUUGCGCUAAUAGAUGAGCCUAAGUCGGAUUAGCUUGUUGGUGGGGUAAAGGCCUACCAAGGCGACGAUCUGUAGCGGGUCUGAGAGGAUGAUCCGCCACACUGGGACUGAUACACGGCCCAGACUCCUACGUGAGGCAGCAGUGGGGAAUAUUGGACAAUGGGGGGAACCCUGAUCCAGCCAUGCCGCGUGUGUGAAGAAGGCCUUAUGGUUGUAAAGCACUUUAAGCGAGGAGGAGGCUCUUUUGGUUAAUACCCAAGAUGAGUGGACGUUACUCGCAGAAUAAGCACCGGCUAACUCUGUGCCAGCAGCCGCCGUAA
rnacentral:rRNA from 1 species